GCUUUUGAGGCUAGGGUCAGAAGGUUUAGGGUUUUCGGUAUAAUUUGGGUGAAGAUUUUGUGUGAUUUCGAGUUUUUAUGGAAAAGAUAUGAAUGUUCAAAGAUAAGGUGUCAAUUUUGUACCUACUGUCACUUCUUUUGAGCAUCACAUACGAAUACGGAGAGCAACGGAAGAUCGGCGACUGGAUUUGGAGGGAGCAUUUUUUCGGCUACACAUUCUACUUACUGUAUAGUGAAUUCUAAGAUUGGAUGAAGGAGUUAUGAGGCGUUGAAGACAGCACUUGUAAUUUGAAGGCAGUAAGUAUAUCGUUUUGUUGCUAGUUAUGGGUGAAGCCAUAUCUUGAGUUUCUGGACGAAUUUUUGGCUCAAAAUUUCCACAAGUGUGUAUAAUUGGGUCAAGAAGCUUUAGAUCAAAGUUUCAUAGUAUUUGAAUAAUUACGUUGUGAGAUAUGAAGGAAGUUGUACACGGGUGUAAAAAAGCUAGGGUUUGAAGCUACAGUUAGGGUUUUCAAGAUAUCACAAGAUCCAAGACGAAUUUACGGUUGAAUUUUGGUGUGGUAGUUGCUAAAGAUAUAUCAGUACUCCAUGUAAAAUGUGGAGUUUUUUAGACGGUUAGAUCGUAAGUUUUGAGCUAUUGAACUUCGGAAAAAAUUCCUCAUAAUGAUAUAUAAGUUUUUUAUAACACCUUAUCAAGUAUUUUGGUGUUCUUUGGAUUUUAAGGCUUGUAUAUUGAUGUAAUUGCUCCAAAGGAGAGGAGUUUAUAUAUAUAAAAUUGUUACCC
rnacentral:lncRNA from 1 species